rnacentral:tRNA from 1 species
GAGGUUAUAGCUCAGUGCUAGAGCACUUGCCUAGUAUGUAUGAGUACUUGGGUUCAAUUCCCAGUACCUUUC